CCAGACUCUAGCCGCCGCACCACCUUGGAAUCGCAAGCCCGGCCUCCUUUCCCUCGGUUGCAUGCACUCCCAUACCGAGAGUCACCCCACAUAAGCUAGCCCUCCGUCGUCCCUUUUACCGCCACCAGUGCACCCUCGUAAGCCUCUGAUCAGCUAACCAUCUCCACCGUGCACCGACCAGAAUCCAAACGAAAUCGACGCAACCGUGCAUGCUUUGCAUCUCCACGGAUCACAACUCCACCUCGCCGUGCAUCACCUUCUCUUGGCCAUCACUGGAGUCCAGCUUCGCCGCCAUACUCGACCUGCACCACCACCAGAGUGCUGAGAAACAACCAUCUAUAGAGUGAGUCGAAACUCCUCUGUUUUGAGUCCGAAAAACAGAGCAUUUUUCCAGCCACCCUGAGCCGCUGAAAACACCCUCCACCGAAAGCUCCUCCGCGCUGUGCCCCCUCAGAAACUGCCAGGGAGGACGUCUCAUCACCCCUGUCCGCCGCACGCUGCCUCUGUUUCCCCGGUAAACUCACGCCAUUUCGGCCAGUGACCAGGUGCCACCCCCCCUUUCGCCGUAGCCAACCACCAGCUCCACGCCGUCGUGCCCUCACCUCUCCGUGACGAUUAAUUAUUAUCCGACGCUUUUGAGGAAUUUUCGAAAAAAGCUAAGAAGUCCAGUGGUUUUCUGCGUGGUCUUUCCUAUGUGCACACACGGGGCUCCGAG